GGACUACCCGGGUAUCUAAUCCCAUUUGCUCCCCUAGCUUUCGUUCCUCAGCGUCAGUUACAGCCCAGCAAGCCGCUUGCGCCACCGGUGUUCUUCCCAAUAUCUACGCAUUUCACCGCUACACUGGGAAUUCCGCUUGCCUCUACUGCACUCCAGUCUUACAGUAUCCAGUGCUGUACCAGGGUUGAGCCCCAGCCUUUUACACCAGACUUAUAAAACCACCUACGAACUCUUUACGCCCAAUAAAUCCGGACAACGCUCGCAUCCUACGUCUUACCGCGGCUGCUGGCAC
rnacentral:rRNA from 1 species